AGAUCAGCAGGGAAUAAUAAAAUAAUCCUCCUCUACAGUGAAAUAAAGCUCUGCUGCUCUUUCAGCGCUUUAACGCUCACUGCUCUCACACGCUGCACCUGAUGGAGCCUGUAGCGGCUAAUCCGGCGACCUUUAACCCUGAAGGGUGGCGCGGACCGCUGGUCACCAUAGCGACGCGGAGCCCGUGUGGCCCGGCUGGCGGCGCGGUUUCAGGCGGAGGUCGAUCGUUUGGAGAUUAACGGCCUCGUCUGCGUUUAUAAUCUCUCCGGCUCGUUUCCGCCGCCGUUAAUCUGCAGCGGGAAACUCAAACCCGGAGAAGCCUCGGAGCUGAAGUCGGCUUCUUCUCCUAACUGUCCCGUUCCACCUUAAGUAGCGCAGCGGUUACAGGCUGGCCGUUUAAGGUGGACCGGGACAAAAGGAAGAAGAAGCCGGGAUGAGGAGCGGCUGCCGCCUCGUCCAGAAGCCGCCCGUUCAGCGACAUUUUACCAGCAGCGGUUUGGUUGUGGAAGAUUUUCCCGCCGGAGUUUGGAGAAAAGCGGCUGCAGCUGAGCGGAAGCUGAAAGCAGAGCAGAGGAAGUGCUGUGGUUCCGUUCACACUGCGUGGUCUGUUCUAGGACACGGGCUAUCUAGAACACGUGAAGACGCGUUUUCAGACUCGUUCAUUUAAUCCCGAACUUGAUCAGGUUAACGGUCGCGUGGUCCUACAGCUACAAGCGUUGCCAUGGUGACCCGUUCGGGCGGCUGUCAUAAUGGGGGGUGAGCGCGCGGUGUCUAUAAAAGUGAGAAGCGAGUGAAUUUUCUUCAUUCGCGUUUGAGCUGAUCUGAGGUGCAGACGUGACGAUGGAGGCGGAGCACAAAGAGAAAAAGAGCGGAAAGCGAAAGGAGAGACAAGCCAAGGGCUCCUGUGGUCCCACCAAGAAGAGGGAGCUCAAAGAGGACAGUGGCUUCAUCAAUCUGGCACCUGUCAGGCAGAAGCAAGAAAAGACCUGUCAGGCUCUGUAUGUGGACAUGCGUGCUCGCUCUUACUGCGUCCUACCGCCAAUUAAAGCUAGCUGUCCACCACCAGUUCAGGCCAUAAAAGGUAAGAUCUUGAACUGAGAGGUUUUA
ensembl:lncRNA